rnacentral:tRNA from 1 species
AUUUCUGUAGCUUAUAUAAGAGUAUACUAUUGAAGCUAGUAAGGAAACAUUGUUUAGAAAUA